rnacentral:rRNA from 1 species
AACGAACGCUGGCGGCAUGCCUAACACAUGCAAGUCGAACGAGACCUUCGGGUCUAGUGGCGCACGGGUGCGUAACGCGUGGGAACCUGCCCUUAGGUUCGGAAUAACUCCCCGAAAGGGGUGCGAAUACCGGAUAAUGUCUUCGGACCAAAGAUUUAUCGCCGUUGGAUGGGCCCGCGUUGGAUUAGCUAGUUGGUAGGGUAAAAGCCUACCAAGGCGACGAUCCAUAGCUGGUCUGAGAGGAUGAUCAGCCACACUGGGACUGAGACACGGCCCCGACUCCUACGGGAGGCAGCAGUGGGGAAUAUUGGACAAUGGGCGACAGCCUGAUCCAGCAAUGCCGCGUGAGUGAUGAAGGCCUUAGGGUUGUAAAGCUCUUUUACCCGGGAUGAUAAUGCCAGUCCCGGGAGAAUAAGCUCCGGCUAACUCCGUG